rnacentral:rRNA from 2 species
CGCAAGCCUGACGGAGCAACGCCGCGUGUGGGAAGAAGGCUCUUGGGCUGUCAACCACUUUUCUCAGGGAAGAAGUCCUGACGGUACCUGAGGAAUCAGCCUCGGCUAACUCCGUGCCAGCAGCCGCGGUAAUACGGAGGAGGCAAGCGUUAUCCGGAAUUAUUGGGCGUAAAGCGUCCGCAGGGGGCACAUCAAGUCUGCUGUUAAAGGCUGGAGCUUAACUCCGGUAGAGCAGUGGAAACUGGUGUGCUAGAGGGCGACAGGGGUAGAGGGAAUUCCCAGUGUAGCGGUGAAAUGCGUAGAGAUUGGGAAGAACACCGGUGGCGAAAGCGCUCUACUGGGUCGCACCUGACCCUCAGGGACGAAAGCUAAGGUAGCG